AUACACGUUGCUAGGCAACGCCGUGUUGUUUCAGGAAAUGCUUGUCAAUGGCAGCCAUAUGGCGCUAAGCAUUUUUUCACCUUUUUUUCGCACUUACAAUCGUGUUUAACAACCACCAUAGAUAAAGUAGCUUGACAACAGCGGCCUACACUCGCUGUGCAGCCUCAUUCUUUGUUAGUAAACUAGACUUUUUCUUUAUAAAUUGCUGUAGGUUAGAGGAUUCGUGUGAGAAGCAUAUUUCUCAGACACCGAAGGAGUGGAAAAGGAAUAAAAAAAGCCUCUUCGCACGCUUCUCCAGAAAAUACAGUUUCAGUAACGCAGGAUACAGACAUGAGCAUUAAGGUUUAUUGACAUCGAUUCGGCGGGCGAGGUUACGCUAACGUCAGCACAGUAGCAUCCAGGAAGAAAAAAUAUCAUCCGCAGUAUGUAAGCGCACACAGCUGGCUGAGGAUCAUUCAGGCGUGAUCUCUCUGUCUUGGAAAUACAGACAAAAGUUCCCUGCUCGAAUUGAACGACAAGAAUAAAGUGACAAACCUCAGGUAUAUCUGUGCCUCCUGAGAUGGUGCCCGGGUCCAUGCAGCCACCUCAGAGUCCAGGUCAGCCUCGAGGUCAGCUGCCCAAGAUCAAAGCUACAAGGGGGAAAGAUGGGAAACAGCUUAAUAACAGCAGCUGCAGGAGCAAAAGAAGACACCCCAAGGAUUCAACAGGCCUACUAAAAAACAAAUCUAGACUAAAUGAAGAGGCAGAGCCCAGCUCUCAGCAUGGGGAAAGCCUGAGGUGGGAGGGAGCUCUGGAGGACCCCCAGGCUGAGGAGAAGAGGCUGGAGCUGUACAGAGCCAACAGGCGACAGCGUUACAUCUCACACAGAAAGACUCUGUUAAAGGACAACCAAGUUGUUUUUUCUAUGGAGAACAAAGAUUUAAAGGUUUUGUCCCAAUCUGAGCAACAGGUGUCUGCAACGUUACUCCAUUUGAGAUUGAAUUAAAGAAGCAAAUACGAGUAUUAUGUCAUCCCUGUUUUCGUUUGUUCAUCAGAUCUUCAGGAAUAGACACAGGACUCAACAUAAACUGAUACUUUUGCUGGCUCAGUCUCUCCUUGCCAUAAUGAUGUGGAUUUAGUUUAAGGCCUUACACAUACUGAGUCCAAGGCUGCUGUGCUGUCUCACAUGUAAAGUGUGUAUAUCGACAUACCUUAAGACAGAUUUUAGAUCCCUAUUUUUGAAGAUGAUUAUGUGAAGCAGUGGAAUACCACUACUGUACAGUAGAUGGCAGAAAAGACAACAAGGAAACAUUGUCAAAUCAGUGAAUGCAAGACAAGCAGUUCUGUUGUGCCUGAGAUGUUUUUAUUUCAUGAACAUACAGUAGUGUGAAAAAAUGACAGAAACUUCAAUUGACAAAUACAUUCUUGUCAUUCAAUCAGGUUUCUCUUUAUAUUGAUAACAAAGCUGUAACUAACAAGGUCAUUGUACCUUCACUUCUCAAUCUUAUGCGGGACAAAGGAAAAUAUUUCUCAAUAAACUAUAAUGGGAACAAAACUUGAUGUUUUUCUAACCUCAGGAAUUACUUGAGGUUUCUUGCUUUCUCACUUUCACUGAAAUAUGAAAGCAAAAAAUGUCCGUGCUUGCAAUAGCACAUAUUUUUUAAAUUAUUUUAUCUCAGUUUCUUAAAUUAAUUGGUGUGUUAUGUUAUGUAACAUGUUGAGAUUACAGAUUGCUUUCCAGUGAUAGCAGGUUGAUUUAUCUUGUUCUGUGAGAAAACAAAUAAUAAGAUCAUUUAGCUCAAGAAAAUAUAAAGUAAAUGUAAAGAUGUGAUCCACUGUGCUACAGUCACAGGACACCAUCAAGAAUUUUUUUUUUCUUAUGACGACAAGUUCUUUAUAUUGGGAUUUCGAAAUAACGAUGCGUGGCUAUUCUUAUCAUAUGUAACAAUGUGAAUAGUGUCAGUAAGACUUUAAUCUGUUCCUGGGUGAUACAUUUACAUUUGAAGCUGUAAUGUGACAGUAUAAUGCUUUGAAUGAAUCCUUGACUAGCAGGAAUAUCUGGUCAGAGGAAUACAAAUAUUUUUUUCCCCAAUAAAGCCUAAAAAAUGU